UUUACUUGAGAGCUUUUUUAUAUUACAUAGUUUACUUGUAGUACUUGUGCUUCAAUUUGUUUUAUCUACACAUAUGGUGUAAUAUCUUGUAACUCAAUUUAUUCCACUUGUAUUGGGUGUGAUCCCAAGGUUUUAAAUAGAGGUGAUAUCUGUGAUAAGUGCCAAAAAUUGGUAAUUUUACAUAUAUAUUUUAGUCACUUAUUGACUUGGUUUAAAAGUAAUUUCAUAUAAAAAACUCAACUAAUUGUAAAUAUUAGUUUUAAUUAGAAAAUUAGUCACUUAUGCUAUUUUUACUUAAUUCCAAUACUUUUUGUAGGUAAUUGUGGAUCUAAUGAAUUUUAGAAUGAAGGGUGAUACUAAUAGCUCAAGUUGGCAAGACUUAUCACAAUUUUAUCCAAAUUAAAGAGAGUUGGUCCAUCACGUUAAUACAAGUGAUCAUUUAUGAUAUAAAUUCUUUGGUCAAAAAGUAUCUUACAAAAAGUGAUAAGAUAAGGCUAAUUUGAAAAAGCUUCAUGAUUAUGUCUCUUAAGAUAUUGGGAUUAAGGAAACCCAAAGGGUGAAGAAAACUAAAUGGGCGGUGAAGGAAUUGCCAUAAAUAAGAGGCCAUGAGCUUAAGGGAGAAUUAAUUCAUUCACUCUUACAAUAAACAACACACGCAAAGCACUUCAAAGAAACAGGGGAAAGAAAGAAGCAGAGAGAAAGAGCAGAACUACAAAGGAGGAAACGAAGGUGGGAUGCACAUCAGUUGUUCGAGAAAUCGACACCGGUGCCGUUAUUUCAUCUCUUUUCUUCUGAGUUGUGUAAAGCUAUCAUGGUAAUGAGUAGCUAAAGACACUUUUGUUGGGAUGGUGUAAAUUACUCUAUUAGUAUGUAUUUCUAUUGAUCAUGGUUUUAUAUAUGGUUUUAGUUGUCUCUCAAUAUUGAUGUUAUCUUUAUUUUUAUUGUUUUAAUCUUUGAUUUGAAUUGUUAUAGACAUAUACCUUUUGAAUCUAAGAACUAGGAUAAUAUCUAUUGAACUCUAAAUUCAAGACAUAGAUUUAGGUUUAAUAUUCACUUAGAGUAUCGAAUCUUAAUGCUAUUGUAUUGAUUGACGAUCCGAGACAUUGGAGGUUAAUAGAUGCAAUAGAUAUCUCGGCGUUAUCNN
rnacentral:lncRNA from 1 species